UUUCCGUAGGUGAACCUGCGGAAGGAUCAUUAGAGAUGCCGAGAGGCCGAUCACACACACAUGCGUGAACCGGGGCUGUGCGCCUGCCGCCUGUGAGGGAUGGCGGGGGCCUGCCCAGUUUUUGUACAUGAUGUCUGGAAUGUAUCUACUUUAACGAGAAAAAACUUUCAACAACGGAUCUCUUGGCUCUCGCAUCGAUGAAGAACGCAGC
rnacentral:misc_RNA from 1 species